AAAGCAAAUGCAUUGAACGUUUAACACAAUCUCAUAAAAUCAUAUAUAUGAAAGUUGGCCAACUCUCUCCUUAUGAGUGACACAUCAUUACACAAGAAAAUGACAUGUGUCAUUCUAUAUUAAUUAAAUAAAAAAUUAAUACAAUUAAUUGAGGAAGAAUCAAAAGUCUUUUGUUGUGUUAAAUUCUCUAUAAUCUCUCUUUUAAAUAAAUUUUCUUAAA
rnacentral:sRNA from 1 species